GCUCAGGAUGAACGCUAGCUACAGGCUUAACACAUGCAAGUCGAGGGGUAGCAGGGUAGCAAUACCGCUGACGACCGGCGCACGGGUGAGUAACACGUAUCCAACCUUCCCAUAACUCGGGGAUAGCCUUUCGAAAGAAAGAUUAAUACCCGAUAGUACUUUUUUAGGGCAUCUUAGAAAAGUUAAAGAUUUAUUGGUUAUGGAUGGGGAUGCGUUCCAUUAGAUAGUUGGUGAGGUAACGGCUCACCAAGUCUUCGAUGGAUAGGGGUUCUGAGAGGAAGGUCCCCCACAUUGGUACUGAGACACGGACCAAACUCCUACGGGAGGCAGCAGUGAGGAAUACUGGUCAAUGGGCGAGAGCCUGAACCAGCC
rnacentral:rRNA from 1 species